UUGUCUUCUGAGUUUCA
rnacentral:miRNA from 1 species